AUAUAGUUACGAUACUGUUGUCAGGUCAUUAAAGAUUGCAUAUUUUAGCGUUAAUAUUGAUUCACUUAUAGGGUCUUUGCAUCGGAACUAAACACAUUUAUUCAAAAACCAGUUGUUGGCAUGACACGGGUUAUGUUCUUCUCAUAUAUGUUAUGAUGGUAUGAUACUAAACCCCUAACGGGAAGGAUUGUGCCUGAUGUUCAUAUGAUGAAAUCAUAAUCUUUCAGUCAGUUCAAUUGAAGUCUGGAGCUGGCAUGUCAGUUAACUGCUAGUAGUCUGUUGUUAUUUAUGUAUUAUUGUCAUUUUGUUUAUUUUCUUUGGUUACAUCUUCUGACAUCAGACUCGGACUUCUCUUGAACUGAAUUUUAAUGUGCGUAUUGUUAUGCGUUUACUUUUCUACAUUGGCUAGAGGUAAAGGGGGAGGGUUGAGAUCUCACAAACAUGUUUAACCCCGCCGCAUUUUUGCGCCUGUCCCAAGUCAGAAGCCUCUGGCCUUUGUUAGUCAUGUAUUAUUUUAAUUUUAUUUCAUGUGUACAAUUUGGAAAUUAGUAUGGCGUUCAUUAUCACUGAACUGGUAUAUAUUUGUUUAGGGGCCAGCUGAAGGACGCCUCCGGGUGCGGGAAUUUCUCGCUACAUUGAAGACCUGUUGAUGGCCUUCUGCUGGUUUUUUUUUCUAUGGUCGGGUUGUUGUCUCUUUGGCACAUUCCCCAUUUCCAUUCUCAAUUUUAU
rnacentral:lncRNA from 1 species